GAGGGGAUAGCUCAGUGGUAGAGCACAUGCUUAGCAUGCACGAGGCCCUGGGUUUAAUCCUCAGUACCUCCA
rnacentral:tRNA from 1 species